CUCAGCACAUUAGGCUCUCUCCUCUUUUCUAAGCGUUGGCCUUUAUCCAUUUUCGGCUAUCUAUUUCAGAUAAUCGUUUGGGUUUUUGUAGGUGCAUGUGCUUUUUGGUAUGGAUAAUUGGGUUCUUCCUCUAUUCUCGGCUAUCUGUAAUUGUUUGGGUUUUGUAGAUGCAUGUGCUCUUUGGUAUGGAUAAUUGGGUUCUUCCCCUCACUUUGACUUUUUUACAACUCAUACAAUCCUUAGAUUGAAGCGUGGAGAGAAACAAAAAAACCAGAAGAAACACAAAAGGCCGAUUUGUUCUAGGAGCGAACGAAGCAAUAUCCAGAGUACAGGUCAAGUUACCUUCGGUGAUUUUUCUGAUACUGAAAAGGUCUCACUUCAUUAUCAAUAUCUUGGGCAGGCCCUGAAGACAUCCACCUGUCCAGUUCUCUUGCUAGCUGUCUUGACAAUAAGCUCCCUGCUCCUGCAUUUACACUAUGUGUUUCUAUGUUUUAUGACGUUUGUAAUAUUUAUUUCAUUAAUUUUUUGUGUUAUCAGUUUAAAGUUAUUAAUCCUUCAUUUAAAAUUGUUGUCUUUAGAGAUGUUUAAGCGAAGAUUAAGGUUUAAACUGAUAUUCUGAUGUUUUUAUGUUACAGAGCAAGCAAUCGGUCAAUUGGGCAUCACAUUUAUGGCCCAAACGAUUGCAUUUUCAUGGGACUGUUGACAAAUGCUCAGUAAUCGAUGCUUAAUAAGUUAGACAAUGAUUAAAUAAAUACCAGGAGCUUUGCUUUUGCCUGAUCGAUUCUUGAGUGUUCAAUUUGGUGUUCUUGAGAAGGAAUCAGGUUGGAGAGUGACGAAGAGUUCAGGACGGUGAUGGAAGUCCCACCUCUGGUAGGAAUAACGUAUCAACAGUCCUUCUAAACUGCAUUAGGGCCACAGGUGAAGGUGGUGAAAGAAAGAUGUAAGAGCCAACCAAACAAUGAAAACAUGAGUCUUAAAAGUUGAAAAUUGUUCGAUCUUAAUGUGUUUCAGUGUUUUAUGGUUUUCCAAGACAGUUAGAGGCUCCAUACUCAAAUUCUAUGGUACGUUUGUUUACUUAGAUUUUUUAUGAGAACUGCACCAUCUUUACUUGGUUUCAUUUGUCCUCAACAUGUUUAUUUUCCAUUAGACCAUAAAAGCACGGAAGAACCAAUACAGAAAUUAGUUGUAUGAUCAUUUGAGUAUAAGAAGGUAUGAAUGAUUCUUCUGUUGCUUUUUUUUUCCUUUGGAAAUGUCUCAUAUCAGAAAGGAAGGAUGUUGUUUUCAUGUAAUAUGUUUUUGAAAGUUUUCUAAUAUUUUUUUCAACUCCUGCAAACAAUAUGGUUUCACUGCAACAAGUAAUGUGCUUAUUAAUGAUUAUCAUCACUGUUACUAGAAAGUUAGGUUACAUUGAUUUGCACAGAACCUUCCAUGGGAAGGUGAAUUAGCAUGCAUGGAUGCUCUGAGGAUGCUAGCCCAGCAAUCAUUCCAUUCACAAUGUUGAGUUAAGUCGGGGGUUUGACUUGCAUAACAACAUAAGUGCUUUGUCUUAAAUUUGGGGGGGAAAAACUGCUUCUAAUGGUUAGUUUCACUUUAUUUUGUGAAAACUAUGCUUGAUUUUGCUUAUGUUGCUGUUUUAGGAACCCUCAAACAAGCAACCACUGAUUUGAGAUUCACUCAUUUAGGAAGAAUUCAUUCUAUUGGUUUGAAUUUAAAAAAAUCGUAGUAGAUUAGGAUAAAUUUUCUUAUGCAGCUCUUUGCAUUAGUGUUGACAGGUUUCAUGCUGCCUCUCUUUAUCUAUUUUAAGAUGCAAUUUUAUUAGUUAAGCUACUCUUUUUAUGUGAGCAUGACAGAUUCACUAGACUGUGUUAGCAGUGGAUAGGUACAAGCUGUUAAAGGGAUCAAAAAGACUUUGGGCAUUGGCCAAGUCGUGUGGACUCCAUUUACUUGAAGCUCUUAUCAAUAUUUGAUUUUAAUUGGGUGGUCAUCAGAUACUAGAAAGCUUGGAUUGAAAUACUGCUACAAUAGGCAAUGUGCACUAUACGCAGUUAGGGCACCACUUUUGAAAUUGAUGAACUUUAAGUUAAGUGGGUGACUUGCAUCGGUAAAUUAUACUCCUAUAUUUUGGUAUUCGUUUCAACAUGUUAAUGCUUUCUCAUUGGGGAAUGUAACUAUGUUUCAAAUUGUCAAGUUUUGUCGAAGUUCCAAGAAAUACCCUCA